GGUCCCGUAGUGUAGUGGUUAGCACGCAGGACUUUGAAUCCUGAGACCCGAGUUCAAUUCUCGGCGGGACCA